rnacentral:rRNA from 1 species
CGCCGGAAGACCAAGGGUUCCUGGGCCAGGCCAGUCCGCCCAGGGUGAGUCGGGACCUAAGGCGAGGCCGACAGGCGUAGUCGAUGGACAACGGGUUGAUAUUCCCGUACCCGUGUGUGAGCGUCCCUGAUGAAUCCAUCUUGCUAACCGCCCAAAUCCAGUGGCACCGAUCCCUUCGGGGUGAGGGCUGCUGGGGCUGCGCGGGACCCAGGUGGGUAGUAGUCAAGCGAUGGGGUGACACAGGAAGGUAGCCGUACCAGUCAGUGGUAAUACUGGGGUAAGCCUGUAGGGCGAGUGAUAGGUAAAUCCGUCACUCAUGAUGCCUGAGAGGUGAUGCAUAGCCGAUUGAGGCGAAUUCGGUGAUCCUAUGCUGUCGAGAAAAGCCUCUAGCGAGCGCACACACGGCCCGUACCCCAAACCAACACAGGUGGUCAGGUAGAGAAUACCGAGGCGUACGAGUGAACUAUGGUUAAGGAACUCGGCAAAAUGCCCCCGUAACUUCGGGAGAAGGGGGACCCACGUACCGUCAUGGC